rnacentral:rRNA from 1 species
AACGAACGCUGGCGGCAUGCCUAACACAUGCAAGUCGAACGAGACCUUCGGGUCUAGUGGCGCACGGGUGCGUAACGCGUGGGAAUCUGCCCUUGGGUUCGGAAUAACAGUUGGAAACGACUGCUAAUACCGGAUGAUGACGUAAGUCCAAAGAUUUAUCGCCCAAGGAUGAGCCCGCGUAGGAUUAGCUAGUUGGUGAGGUAAAGGCUCACCAAGGCGACGAUCCUUAGCUGGUCUGAGAGGAUGAUCAGCCACACUGGGACUGAGACACGGCCCAGACUCCUACGGGAGGCAGCAGUGGGGAAUAUUGGACAAUGGGCGAAAGACUGAUCCAGCAAUGCAGCGUGAGUGAUGAAGGCCUUAGGGUUGUAAAGCUCUUUUACCCGGGAUGAUAAUGACAGUACCGGGAGAAUAAGCUCCGGCUAACUCCGUG